UCGUGACUCGGUGGUGUCGGUGAACCGUGUCUUAUGAACUCUCAGUGACACCUGCAGACGGGAUUUCCUGGUGUGGACAGGCGUGUGGCAGCUCCAGGUGUUGCUAUCUCACGAGAACGCCUCUCCUGUACUUGGUACGUCAGCUGCUCUUAAGAUGAACGUCAACUUGACCUUGCCUGUUGUUCUGUUUUCUCCUGUUCUGCCUGAACACCUUCCGUUCGACAAACAGCGCAAGUUCCGGAUGUAAACAUCAUCGCACCUUUGAACUGCGAGGCCAUAUAUGGAGCGUAACGGAUGUGACGUCAGACCACUGCGAGUGGGACAUCAGAACUUUUCCAAACAAGAUAAUCUUGAUUAAUUUCGACAUCUCCGGCUUCCGGCGAGGUUCGGACAACUGCACAGCCGACGUUCUGACGUUUCACGACGGAAACUCUCCUGGCAGCAGAACUAUCGACACGUUCUGUGGAGACCAGACACGUGAGUGUGUGUAUGCAUGUUUGUGUGUGUUGUGU